CAGCCGCCGCGGGAAAACGAAGGGUGCAAGCGUUACUCGGAAUUACUGGGCGUAAAGCGUGCGUAGGUGGUGGUUUAAGUCCGUUGUGAAAGCCCUGGGCUCAACCUGGGAAUUGCAGUGGAUACUGGGUCACUAGAGUGUGGUAGAGGAUAGUGGAAUUUCCGGUGUAGCAGUGAAAUGCGUAGAGAUCGGAAGGAACAUCUGUGGCGAAGGCGACUAUCUGGGCCAACACUGACACUGAGGCACGAAAGCGUGGGGAGCAAACAGGAUUAGAUACCCCAGUAGUCCCUGUCUCUUAUAU
rnacentral:rRNA from 1 species